UACAGAGGUCCCAAGCGUUGUUCGGAUUCACUGGGCGUAAAGGGUGCGCAGGUGGCAUGGCAAGUUUGAUGUGAAAGCUCAGGGCUCAACCCUGAAAUGGCAUUGAAUACUGCUGUGCUGGAGGUUUGGAGGGGGGACUGGAAUUCUUGGUGUAGCAGUGAAAUGCGUAGAUAUCAAGAGGAACACCAGUGGCGAAGGCGAGUCCCUGGACAACACCUGACACUGAGGCACGAAAGCUAGGGGAGCAAACAGG
rnacentral:rRNA from 1 species